rnacentral:lncRNA from 1 species
UAUAUUCAUGGGAUGAUAAUUGAUGUUUCUCAAAAUAAGAAAAUAUUAAAGAUAUAAAUAAACUAGAUUCUAUGUUCAACAAUAUUCGGAAAACUGACCAAAGUUAAAGAGUUUUCUUUAUUGUUGGAUGUCUUGCAGAUGUUACUGGAUCAACACUCAUUGUGAAACUCCAUGAAGGAAACAGUUUUCCAAACUCAUUUGGCCAGUAAAUCCUUUCACCAGAAGUUCCACAAGAGACUACUCUUCUGCAACAUUUCCCUAAUAGAAGCCAUAUCAAAUAUCUGUGACCAAAUGAAUUUUUCUAGAAAAUUGAUGCCACCUCAGAACAUCAUCUCAAAGUCAAAGAAAUGAACUGGAUUCAGGUACAAGAAAGCCAUUUGGCACAAAACAUGUUGACUGCAUUGACCCAUGUACAUGGACUCUGCAUCGUAGCUAAUGAGAAAUGACAUCACAGUGGAAAGUUAAUGGAAGAGGAGUCAGAAGUCCCCUAUUCAACUCCCAUGUUUCUCAAGACCUGUACCUUGAUCCAGUGAUGUAACCUAAUACUUCAAUUUCCUCAUCUCUCAUAUUCUGAUAUUAGGGCCAACAUGAGAAGACAAUUUUGAUAACAAAAUAAAACAACAUACAAGAAAGUAUUUCA